GGUUUUAUAUUCAACUAUGAUUUAAAAUUGCAAAUUUUAAGGUAUAAUUAAUAUAUUAUUAAGACCU
rnacentral:tRNA from 1 species